rnacentral:rRNA from 1 species
UGGGGAAUAUUGCACAAUGGGCGAAAGCCUGAUGCAGCGACGCCGCGUGAGGGAUGAAGGCCUUCGGGUUGUAAACCUCUUUCAGCAGGGAAGAAGCGCAAGUGACGGUACCUGCAGAAGAAGCGCCGGCUAACUACGUGCCAGCAGCCGCGGUAAUACGUAGGGCGCAAGCGUUGUCCGGAAUUAUUGGGCGUAAAGAGCUCGUAGGCGGUUUGUCGCGUCUGGUGUGAAAACUCGAGGCUCAACCUCGAGCUUGCAUCGGGUACGGGCAGACUAGAGUGCGGUAGGGGAGACUGGAAUUCCUGGUGUAGCGGUGGAAUGCGCAGAUAUCAGGAGGAGCACCGAUGGCGAAGGCAGGUCUCUGGGCCGCAACUGACGCUGAGGAGCGAAAGCAUGGGGAGCGAACA